UUGGUGUUGGCAGCAGGGAGGUGUUUUGUGAGAGAAAAUCUAGUUCUAGUUUAGACAUGUAAAGUUUGACAUCUUGGAGAGACAUCCAGUUGUAGCUGUUCACUAGUAGGUGGGUAACUGAAUAUAUCAGCUGGGAGCUCAGAGGUAAGGUGUUGCUCAGAUGGUGUUUCAGUCACUGAUGUCAAGUUGAGAGGAAUCAGAGUCAGAAACUCUGACUUAGUUCAGGAUAAAGGAGAAAGAGCCAACAAAAGAGUGUGGGAAAGAAUAGCUAGAAAGAGGAAAAAAUCCAGGGUAGAAUGAUAUUGGUGAAGCCAAGAGAGGAGAUUCUAUGAGGGAAAGAAGUCUACAAAGUGCUGGCGAGGGGACAAGUAUAUGAGGACUGGAUUUGGCCCAUGAGCAUUGCUGGUGAUCUUCAUGGAAACUCACAGCAAGAUUUGGGGCAGAAGCCAGAUUGGAUGCAUUAAAUUGGAUGCUACCAACAGAAAGCAAACAGCAAAAAGCAAAGGUGUUCAUUUUUGAAAUAGGACACCAAAUAGAGCAGGGACAACUGAGGAAGAAAUUCUGCUAAGAGAACUAGAAAUCAAGGACACUGAACAUCUAUGACCUCAUCAGCCUGGAGACAAUUAAUUUUAUUAUGGUUCCUUAUAUAACCUUCUGGAAAUACAAGCACUGUGUAAACUAAGACAAAUGAAGGAGCAAUGAGAGCUAUGGAUGGAGAGCAAGGACCCCCGGGACCUGACUGAAAAUGUGUUCCAAAUAUAAUUUGCACUGGCCCACUAACUGACAAGAAAUUCCUGGGAGCCAAUCUUUUCAGUUUGUGUGGAUGAGCAUUCUCUUUCAGCUGAUGAAACUAGAGAUGAAAAUGCCAAGGCUUUUGGAUUGAGCAAGGAUAAGUCCAGUUUAUGUCUGUAUAAUUGGAUGGAGACACAGAGUCACCUGUGGGAUUCUGGUACAGAGGACGUGUGCUUUGGAAUUACUGUCUACCCAGUUACAGAGUGCUGGUUCUGAAGCAAGGAGUUCUCUGCUUCUAUGACCCUGAUGAGAUCUUAUUUUGAAUUAGAGAAAUGGAACAUUUUCUAGUUCACUAUGGUGGUACAGAUGCUCAUCUAUUUUGAUCCACCAGAAAGAGAAGUUAUCGCUCAUUUUGCUCACCCUAAGGAGAACUGUCAGAAAUGAGUAAACAUAUAUUUUAUUUAAAAAGUUUCACAUCUUUUGGUGGGGAAAUGUUUUGGAAUUAUUUGAACACUGUUUUUAAUGCUUGAAGUGAUCUGUUCACUGCUGAGGUCACUCAUUUCAAUAUUGACCUUGAAACGUUUUCCAGAAAUGAUUAUAGCAUGGGUAUAAAUUGUGAUUUCUUAAUUUCUUUAAUAAUUUUUUCCUAUUAAUUAUUUUAAUGGAUCUAAGUGCAUUGCCAUUUAAUCAUUGCUAGCAAUGUUUUGCUAAUGUUUAUUUAAUAUCUACUGACAAGGGCAUAACAUUUCAUACUUAAUGCUAAUACUUUUAAGAAUUCUAGUAUUUAUAUAUAAAAUUGGAUUUUAAAAGAAUAGAUUCAGUGUUUUAAGAUAAUGAUUAAAUAACAAAAUGUAUAUUCAUAACAAAUUGGGCAUAUUAAGUAAAUGUCUGUUAACAUUAACAAGGUUAUAUCAAGAUACUAUUACUGAUAAUUCAUACUUAUUUUUGUUAGCUGUCAAACUUAAUAAGUUGCAGACAGGAAGAUAUGAUUCCUUUCUAUAAUAUAAUAAAGCAGACAGAGGAAUUAGGUUAUGAAAAGACAGGGAGAUGGUGAACAUCUAACCAAAUACAAUUGAGUUGAAAAUUUUUUUUUAUCCAUUUAAUUCUGUGGACCAUGUUCAUGGCAGCUUUGUGUAAACAGAAGGUCUUGGGCAGUUAAAGAAGGGAUUUGCAGAGGAACUGUGUUCUUAGAAAGGAUAUGAUAGGGAGGAAGUGAAGCUGACCUUAGGAUGUACAGGGGGCAAUUUUUCUAGGCACAGGGUAUAUCUGGAAUAAAAAUGAGUAACUAUACAAAUAGAAUAAUUAUAAAAUUUUUGAGAUUGAUCAUACCCUGAAGAUUUUAAUUUAGAGGUGAGGGUUCUGGUCCCAGAGAAGUUAAGCAACUUGCCUUUGGUCACAUGGCUAGUUAUUAGCAGAGCAACUACUAGAAAUACAGCUCCUGCACAGUUCAGUGGUUUUCCAUGACAUUUUGUGCCAGGGAAUAAUUCCAACAUGUUAAUUGUG